rnacentral:lncRNA from 1 species
CCAAUUCUCUAUUCUUGUGUAAAAAGAGAAAACAUACAUGAAUGGGUGCAACAUCUGUUGAACUGUUUUUAAUGUGCCAAAGUAGAAUGGGAUUUUCAGUUUAAGAAACAGGGUUUAAAAAAGAAGUAAGGAGAAAAAUGUGGUGCAAAAUUAGGAAAGAAAAUAUUUAUGUAAAGAAAUCUUCAUGAGAAAUAAUAUGAAUAUCCCACUGAAGAUAGGUUGACAGGCAGCUUGAUGGGAUAGCUGAUUGAGACAGAGAAGAGAUUCUGGAUUUAAAAAAUACAGUGACAAUUAAAUGCAACAGAAAUUUGGUUCAGUUGGGCUUUAGGGAAAACAUAAUUUUUUUGUCACACACAUUUCUGCUGCUUGCUGAUUUAUGGGGAGAGAGUGGCAUUGAAGAAAAGGAGGGUAUCAGCCAAACUGUCUGAGGUGAGGAAGAUCUCAUAUAAUGUUGCAGUCACAGAAAGGUGUCAGGCAGCUGACCAAGGGUGGUGACUUCCCAUUCCCAAAAGUCAAGGAGGAUUUAACAUCAAGCACGAAGGCUCACUACAGAGAAAUAAGAGCAAAGAACAUCAAUGAUUUGAUGAAACCAUGUGGCAUUUUAUAGAAAUGGAUAAAGAGGAAAUUGGCUAACAAAGAUGAAUGUGCAGCAAAGAAACCAAAGUGAAAAUAUUGAAAUGUGAGGAUAAUGUAAAUGGAGUUAUAGAAGAAAUAGCUGAUGUGAAAAUGUUGAUAAGGCCAUCGUUGGAAACACUAGAUAUACAGCUGGAGCAAAGCAAGAGGUGAACUUACCAACAUAAUAGGGAAAGUGGCCAUGAUUAAAGGAUAAAUAUGUUCCAGAAGAAUUGACACUGGCAAUAACAACUUCACAUUAAAGCCACACUUAGAGAUGCUUCAUGACAUGGAAAGCACAAAGCAUAAAAUUUUGGAAGCUGAUUCAAAGUUGGAAAGGAAUAUGACAAUUUGCCAAGGCAUAACAAAGAUGCUUGAUUCAUACGAAGAAUUAUAAAUGAGAGGAAGGCAAGCACUGUUUUGAACUAUUCUCGUAUGGAGAUGUUGCUGGACAAUGGCUGCCCCUUCAAGGACUAUUAUUUCCCAGCCUCUCCCCCUUGCAUCCAGGUAGACCCUGUUACCGAUGCAUGUCUACGUUACCUCUAGGAGACAGGUGGCUGACCCAUGCAUUGUACUGUAUGUCCACGGGCUUUCCAGGUUAAUUCUGCAUACGGGACAUAAUAAAAAGCACUAUUGCCAAUUCAUGCACUGAAACCUCCCAUGAACAUAACUUUGAAACAGAUUGAGGAUCUUCGAGAAAUGGUGUCUCUUGCCUGUCAUCCCAGCAGUUUAGGAGUCUGAGGUGGGAGGAUCACUUGAGACCAGAAGUUUGAGACCAGCCUGGGAAACAUAGUGAGACCCUGUCUCUACAAAAAGUAAAAUAAAUUAGCCAGUCAUCCUAGCUGCUAGAGAGGCUAAGGCAAGGGUACUGCUUGAGCCCAGGAGUUCAAGGCUGCUUUGAGCUAUGAUCAUGCCACAGCUUGGGUUACAGAGCAAGAUUCUAUCUCUUAAAAAAGAAAAAGAAAUAGAUGAAAAUCAAGGACUAUGAUGUUUUUAUUUGGCUAAAUAAAAUAUACUCAGCAUGAUACUGAGUUAUAUAUACUGUAUUCUUUCAUGUAUGACUGUAUAUUAAACUAAAUAAAUUAUUCCAGUUAUUCAAAUACUCUUAAUACAAUUUAAUAAAGAUCCAUGUCUGCAUCAGGCAUCCAUUGGCACAGAUUUUAAAACCUAUAAGAAAAAGUUUUCAAAAUUGUUUUCUUUUGUUAUUAAUUAUAUUGCAGAAAUGAGCACCAAUUUUCAAUUGUUUAUGUUAAAGUAUACAUUUUCAUUUAUCAUAAUCACAUUUCAUGGAUUCUUUAAUGUUUCUUAAAUGUACAGCAGUUUAAAAAAUAUAAGUAGACAAGGGCUACAAUGCUAGAUUUCUUCCUUUGUCUCUCAUCUCUUUGCAUAUUAUAAUGUAUAUUUCUAAUUCUUUAAGCUGCUUUAUUAUUUUUAGCUGAUAUGAAAUUUGCCAAUGCAUAGGAUAUGGUAUAAAUAUUGCUAUAAUAUUUAGAAAUUAGAAAUCCAGGAGGUGAUAGGUAUUCAGCAAAUGAUAGAGAAAGUGCCUAUUGCUAAAAAGACUCUUUUACGUCUAUUUUGAAAUAUUGGUCCUCUUUUGGUAUUAGAUCCUAGUCAUUUAGUAUGCAGAUUAACAUUUCAGAUCAUUAAAAUUAAAAAAAAACUCUCAAGUAUUAUUCUAAUUUCUUUAAAAUUCUCCUCAUUGUAUACCACUUUAUUUAUGGUAUGGCAGCACAUCAUAUGCUAAUUGCAUUAUAAACUUUUCUAAAAAUAAUCUGAAAUUCACUUUGAACCCUUUGACUUACUGUUAAUGAAAUUUUCCAAACAUUCCUAAACAUUCGUCUAUAAAAACAAAACUAUACUUCACCCAACGAGAAGAAUCUGCAGUUUGAAGGAUUUCUAAAAAAUAUUGGUUCACAGACUUUUUAAAUGUCACAUAUACAUUCUCAUCCAGUGUCAUUAAUUAUAAUUUUUAACAUGAUGUAUAAGUCAAAUCACUAAAUAACCUUAUAUAUUGAAUAAACAACAUAUCUGAAAAUUUUAUUUCCAUAUUUAUGGAUGUAAAGUCAAGAUAAUUUGUUUACCAAAAAACAACAAAAUAUUUAAAGUUAUUAUUUCAUCCUCUCUUUGCUUUAUACUUCUAGAUGUCUGAAGACAAAGACUAUGACAGGAACAUUUGUAAUUCAUGUGAUAAGUCUUCCAAUGACAAGUACAUUGAGUGAUUGAAAAUUAUAGAAAAUGAGUUACACAUUUAGAAAAGCUCUAAGUGAAUUGACAAUGGAAUAUUACUAGCAGAGGAUAUAAAAAUAUUUAACAAUGUACCUGUUAGCUGAAAGUAAAGUGACUUCUUAUAAUUACUCAAAGGUUGUGUUGUAUCACAAACAUUUUUAAAUCACUAUAUUAGUCAUAAUUUUUCACAUUAAUGAAAUUUCAAGAAACAGUUCCCUGUGGUAAAUAUAUGAAACUUAAUACAUUUAGUCAUUGCACUUAAUGCAUUUUAAUGAAUGUAAAUUUGUCUGUGUCACUUCAUUUCUUUCUUAAUGGUCAUUCAGUUUCCAGACACAUAUUAAUUAAAUAUCAUUAGUUUUAGAUAAAUAUUAUAUACUCUACCUAGUAACUGAAAAGAAUUUUAAUUUAAAUUUUGUGGAGAAAGCAUUUUUACUAGAAUUUCUGAAAUGAAAUUUUAUGUAUUCAUUUGGACUGAUUUUUUUCCUAGACAUAUCUUUUUUAUUAUGCAUUUUAUGUUUUUUAGUUUGUCAUUAAUUUGAUUAUUUGCUUUAUGAGAUCAUGUUAUCCUUUUAUACCGAUCUAACUACUUAAGUAUUUAUAGGCACAUUUUGCUUCUUUUCCAACGUCUCAAUGUAAGAAUCUUGUUUCAACACCAAUCGGAUCAGUUGCUACUUUUUCACUUUUAUGGAAUUGUUAUCAUAGAUAUUUCUAUGAAGCAUACGUUCCUGUCUUUGGUUUUCCCUUUUCAGUGUCUUACAUUAAAUUUUCCCCUCAGCUUCACUGCUUGGCUCUAGGUUAAGUUAAUGAUAAUCACCAAUUUUACUGUAUCUUCUAACAUAGUAGACCAAUGCUACUUUUUGUUGAUUACUCGUUGUUGCCUUAUCAGCAAGCCUUAAUCAACCACAGGAAUUGAAAUAUAGUGCUUGUUGUUGAGAUAAUAUUCUUUUGGCAUCUGACAAUAUUUGGCUAUAAAAUUGUGUUCAUUCAUUAAUGCUGAGAAGAAAUUUGGUAAGCUGCUCAUAUUUUCUCUGUUGAAUAAAACUAAACGUUUCAACUUUUGUUUUAAUCUGUAAAAUGCUUUCUUUGAAUGUAUUUUUACAUGGAACCCCAAUAUUUGAAAUACAUAAAAUUUAUAUCGUGUGGCUUAAACAGGGUUGGCUGUUCUUUUUCAACUGCCUUAGCUAACUCUGAAGGGAAUCAACAGAAAGGAAGAGAAAGAGACAGAGGGGGAGACAGAGAUGCAGAUAGAAUUGGAGAGGGUAAAGAGAAUGAAGAUGUGUGUGAUUCUUCUUUGAAUGACUCUAAUUUAUAUCAGGUUUGUCUGUUUGUAUAUGGAAUCACUAUUUAUCGUAUAUUUAUUAACACAGAAAUAGGUUAUUAAGUGAGAAGAACAAUAUAUUAUGAGGCUAUCUAUGCACACACACAAAAAUUCAGACACCAAUAAUAUUUUCAGUAUACAAUAUUGAGCAAGUUAUUUGCCCCAUCUCUUCCUUAGUCUGUCAUCUAUAGAACAGGAAGAAUAAUAAUAACAACUUCAUAAAACUUAUUAUAUGUAAAUAUAUUUAGAAUAAGGCUUGACAGCAUCUACAAAGGGUUCUGAAAAUAUUAGUCGUUAUUUUUCUGUCUGUAUGUUCUAUUCUUUAAUUUCUGAUUUUUCUACAUUAUUAUGUAUUACUUCGGUGAUAUGAAAACUUAUUUAAAAAGUGAAGAAUACUAGAAAGCAUGUAGAAUGUGUAAAAAUACUUUAUAAAAAAUAUAAGUGUUCCUGCAUUACGAAUAAUCCUCAAAUGCUGAAGUUAUGA